CUACGGGAGGCAGCAGUUGGGAAUCUUGGACAAUGGGGGAAACCCUGAUCCAGCCAUGCCGCGUGAGUGAUGAAGGCCUUCGGGUUGUAAAACUCUUUCGACGGGGACGAUAAUGACGGUACCCGUAGAAGAAGCUCCGGCUAACUUCGUGCCAGCAGCCGCGGUAAUACGAAGGGGGCUAGCGUUGUUCGGAAUUACUGGGCGUAAAGCGCGCGCAGGCGGCUAUCCAAGUCAGUGGUGAAAGCCCGGAGCUCAACUCCGGAACUGCCAUUGAAACUGUUUAGCUUGAGGAUGAGAGAGGUGAGUGGAAUUCCCAGUGUAGAGGUGAAAUUCGUAGAUAUUGGGAAGAACACCGGUGGCGAAGGCGGCUCACUGGCUCAUUACUGACGCUCAGGCGCGAUAGCGUGGGGAUCAAACAGGAUUAGAUACCCCCGUAGUCC
rnacentral:rRNA from 1 species